UCUUAAUGUAUCUUGCUUUUGUUAAUGAAAUGACUUUAUGAAAGCUUGUAAAUCUCCCCUGUUAUAUUCUGAAUUCUCAAAGAAAUUGACAUCAUAAGUAUGGACUUCACAAAUGCACAAAGAUAACCUCUAAAGUUUCUGAAAUUCAUUCCCAAAAAAACCAUCAUCAUAAGCUGUUGGACAUAUGUUUCAUAGUCAAAAAACUAGCAUAGUUUAGAUAGGAUCAUCUGUUGAAAUAUUGCAAAAAAAACAAAAAAAACAACCCAACCCAAAGCCCUAGCAAGACCAAAAGUCUAAAUGUGAUUUCAACUAGUGGAUGUUGAUCCAACAGUUGAGAUCACAUUCUGUCUCCUUGGACUUCUUCUGAGGACUAGUUCUUGAUCCACAGCAUCUGUUUUCCC
rnacentral:lncRNA from 1 species